GCACUGAGUCACAUAUUCUAAGAAAUAGACUGUACUCUCCUCAAAUCGAAAUAACGGCACUUUAAUUCUUGGAUUUUCCACAUUUUCGUUGGUAAAGCUCUUAUUUGCUUUCUUUGAAUCUGUGUCAGUUCAUGCAGUUCUGCCAAGGGGGAAGCUUUACAGGACACUGCCAGUUUAGCACUUGAAAUAUUAAGAUGAACAGAACAAGCCAAAGGUGGGAAAACUGGAGAGAUUGAAUGUCCUUGGAAGUUCACGGAGGUUUGGCAGUGGGAUAAGAAAAACAAAACGGAGCAUAGUGGGAGUGUGGACCAGACUUUCCCAAGAUCCCCAGGAAAAACAAUGCUACUGCAAGAGCUCAUGUUCAUUACUGAAACCAACUUAGAAGGGUGAGCUUCACGACAUGUUCCUCUGAGGUCUGUGCCCGAUCAACCGAAGAACAACUGGAAGAAUCACAUUGUGCAAAGGGAGACCAAAUUAGAGGAACAGGACUCUGAAGGAGAUCGUCCAACUUCCUUAAAUGACCUUCGUUAGUCUUACACCUUCUGCCAAUUAAUUGCACUUAUGAAAUGUGCUGUCUCACUCAAGGCAAUUGAACUAAUAUUGGCCUAUUCAUAUUUUGGUUUUUAAUUGGUUAUUCUCAAUUAUCAAUAUGAAUUUUUAUAAUCACAUUGCAACUGUUUAACUGUUGAGUCAUUCUUCAUUCAGAUAAAAUGAGUCUUUAUUAGCUAUUCUUAAAACGUCUUGUUCUUUUUCUUCAUAACACGACUUGAAAUGUUGUGCUUAUUUGGUGAUCAUAUUUAAAUAAAUAUAUUCAAUUUAAAAUGCA
rnacentral:lncRNA from 1 species